GAUGAACGCUGGCGGCGUGCUUUACACAUGCAAGUCGAACGCUGAAGCCCCUUCGGGGGCCGAUGAGUGGCGAACGGGUGAGGAAUACAUGGGUAACCUACCCUCGAGUGGGGAAUAACUAGCCGAAAGGUUAGCUAAUACCGCGUACGCUUCUUGGACUUCGGUUCAGGGAGGAAAGCGAUGCCGAGGGUAUCGCGCUCUUGGAUGGGCUCAUGUCCUAUCAGCUUGUUGGUGAGGUAACGGCUCACCAAGGCUUCGACGGGUAGCUGGUCUGAGAGGACGAUCAGCCACACUGGCACUG
rnacentral:rRNA from 1 species